rnacentral:rRNA from 1 species
UACGAAGGGGGCUAGCGUUGUUCGGAAUCACUGGGCGUAAAGCGCACGUAGGCGGAUUGUUAAGUCGGGGGUGAAAUCCUGAGGCUCAACCUCAGAACUGCCUUCGAUACUGGCAAUCUCGAGUCCGGAAGAGGUUGGUGGAACAGCUAGUGUAGAGGUGAAAUUCGUAGAUAUUCGCAAGAACACGAGUGGCGAAGGCGGCUCACUGGCCCGGUACUGACGCUGAGGUGCGAAAGCGUGGGGAGCAAACAGG